rnacentral:tRNA from 1 species
GCGCCCUUAGCUCAGCUGGAUAGAGCAUUUGAUUGCGGUUCAAAAGGUCAGAAGUUCGAAUCUUCUAGGGCGCGCCA